rnacentral:rRNA from 1 species
ACGGCGAGUGAACAAGCAAAAGCUCAGUUUUGAAAGCCUACUUUGUAGGCAUUGUAUUCUGAAGCCUAGAUUCUGGGAAACGGUGUUUAAGUCUUCUGGAAAGGAGCGCCACGGAGGGUGAUAGCCCCGUACGGCACUGACCCCAUUGUAGUUUCUAGGCGUGGAGUCGAGUUGUUUGGGAAUGCAGCUCAAAUGGGAGGUAUGCUCCUUCUAAAGCUAAAUAUUUGCGAGAGACCGAUAGCGAACAAGUACUGUGAAGGAAAGAUGAAAAGAACUUUGAAAAGAGAGUGAAAUAGGACGUGAAAUUGUUGAAAUGGAAGGGUAGGCUGCUAACCAUGUAGGACCGUGUCUGAGGGGAAGAUAAAAGCUACGGAAUGUGACUCUUCGGAGUGUUAUAGCCGUGGUCAAUGUUCCCACUUAGGCGCGAGGAUCUCAGGUUCUACUAAAUGGUGGUCUACCACCCGUCUUGAAACACGGACCAAGGAGUCUAUUGCCUGCGCGAGUAUUUGGGUGUCAAACCCAUAUGCGAAGUGAAAGCGAGUGGUUCUAACUUUUUGUUCAGAAUCGGCCGACCGUUCAUAGGAACGGAUUGAGUUGAGCGCAAGUGAUGGGACCCGAAAGAUGGUGAACUAUGCCUGAAUAGGGUGAAGCCAGAGGAAACUCUGGUGGAGGCUCGCAGCGGUUCUGACGUGCAAAUCGAUCGUCAAAUUUGGGUAU